GACAUCAGCUUUGUUGAUUCUGCUAUGAGCAGCACGUUUUCUUUGAGAAGACAAGAAGUCGUUGAGGAGGUGCCACCAGUGUCACAAAUGAAAGUUCGAUGGCCAGCACUUUUCACAGAGAGACAGUUGAGCAAAGAAUUCACCAGGCUUGUGUCAAAAGACCUGAGCAAGUCCUUUUUUUGAAGGCCUAGAUCGUCAUCUCUCGAAGCUUAUACAGUUAUUCAGGUCAAAGCGUUAUGAGGACAUUCCAGAAAUGACGUCAAUACUGCAGAGCCUUCAUAAGGAUACAACAAACCAAAAGAUGAGGACAGCAGCAUUGCUAGGUCUGCCAUGGUACAUGCGAGAGACUCCUUCAAAAUUCAUGAAGAUAUGCGAG